GACGAACGCUGGCGGCGUGCCUAAUACAUGCAAGUAGAACGCUGAAGAGAGGAGCUUCCUCUUCUUGGAUGAGUUGCGAACGGGUGAGUAACGCGUAGGUAACCUGCCUUGUAGCGGGGGAUAACUAUUGGAAACGAUAGCUAAUACCGCAUAACAAUGGAUGACACAUGUCAUUUAUUUGAAAGGGGCAAUUGCUCCACUACAAGAUGGACCUGCGUUGUAUUAGCUAGUAGGUGAGGUAAUGGCUCACCUAGGCGACGAUACAUAGCCGACCUGAGAGGGUGAUCAGCCACACUGGGACGGAGACACGGCCCAGACGCCUACGGGAGGCAGCAGUAGGGAAACGUCGGCAAUGGGGGCAACCCUGACCGCGCUACGCCGCGUGAGGGAAGAAGGUUUUCGGAUCGUAAAGCUCGGUUGUAAGUCAAGAACGGGCGUGAGAGUGGAAAGUUCACACUGUGACGGUAGCGUACCAGAAAGGGACGGCUAACUACGUG
rnacentral:rRNA from 1 species